rnacentral:rRNA from 1 species
GACGAACGCUGGCGGCGUGCUUAACACAUGCAAGUCGAACGAUGAACUCCAGCUUGCUGGGGGGAUUAGUGGCGAACGGGUGAGUAACACGUGAGUAACCUGCCCUUGACUCUGGGAUAAGCGCUGGAAACGGCGUCUAAUACCGGAUAUGACCUUCAGCCGCAUGGCUUGUUGGUGGAAAGAAUUUCGGUCAAGGAUGGACUCGCGGCCUAUCAGGUAGUUGGUGAGGUAAUGGCUCACCAAGCCUACGACGGGUAGCCGGCCUGAGAGGGUGACCGGCCACACUGGGACUGAGACACGGCCCAGACUCCUACGGGAGGCAGCAGUGGGGAAUAUUGCACAAUGGGCGCAAGCCUGAUGCAGCAACGCCGCGUGAGGGAUGACGGCCUUCGGGUUGUAAACCUCUUUUAGUAGGGAAGAAGCGAAAGUGACGGUACCUGCAGAAAAAGCACCGGCUAACUACGUGCCAGCAGCCGCUGUAAAAC